CCUACGGGUGGCAGCAGUGGGGAAUAUUGGACAAUGGGGGGAACCCUGAUCCAGCCAUGCCGCGUGUGUGAAGAAGGCCCUCGGGUUGUAAAGCACUUUCAGUGAGGAAGAACGCCUGGUGGUUAAUACCCAUCAGGAAAGACAUCACUCACAGAAGAAGCACCGGCUAACUCCGUGCCAGCAGCCGCGGUAAUACGGAGGGUGCGAGCGUUAAUCGGAAUUACUGGGCGUAAAGCGCGCAUAGGUGGCUUGAUAAGCCGGUUGUGAAAGCCCCGGGCUCAACCUGGGAACGGCAUCCGGAACUGUCAAGCUAGAGUGCAGGAGAGGAAGGUAGAAUUCCCGGUGUAGCGGUGAAAUGCGUAGAGAUCGGGAGGAAUACCAGUGGCGAAGGCGGCCUUCUGGACUGACACUGACACUGAGGUGCGAAAGCGUGGGUAGCAAACAGGAUUAGAUACCCGAGUAGU
rnacentral:rRNA from 1 species